rnacentral:rRNA from 1 species
AGCAGCCGCGGUAAUUCCAGCUCCAAUAGCGUAUAUUAAAGUUGUUGCAGUUAAAAGCUCGUAGUUGAACCUUAGGCCCGUGCGGGCGGUCCGUCCUCAGGGCGAGCACUGCCUCGUCGCGGGUCUCACCUUCUGGCGAGCGUGGAUGCCAUUCACUUGGUGUCUGCGGGAACCAGGACCUUUACCUUGAAAAAUUGAGUGCUCAAAGCGGGCUCGUACGCUUGAAUACAUUAGCAUGGAAUAAUGAAAUAGGACGACGGUUCUAUUUUGUUGGUUUCCGGGAUUGUCGUAAUGAUUAAUAGGGAUAGUUGGGGGCAUUCGUAUUCAAUUGUCAGAGGUGAAAUUCUUGGAUUUAUUGAAGACGGACUACUGCGAAAGCAUUUGCCAAGGAUGUUUUCAUUAAUCAAGAACGAAAGUUGGGGGAUCGAAGAC